CCUGCGCGGAAGAUGUAACGGGGCUCAAACCACACACCGAAGCUGCGGGUGUCACGUAAGUGACGCGGUAGAGGAGCGUUCUGUAAGCCUGUGAAGGUGAGUUGAGAAGCUUGCUGGAGGUAUCAGAAGUGCGAAUGCUGACAUGAGUAACGACAAUGGGUGUGAAAAACACCCACGCCGAAAGACCAAGGGUUCCUGCGCAACGUUAAUCGACGCAGGGUUAGUCGGUUCCUAAGGCGAGGCUGAAAAGCGUAGUCGAUGGGAAACAGGUUAAUAUUCCUGUACUUCUGGUUACUGCGAUGGAGGGACGGAGAAGGCUAGGCCAGCUUGGCGUUGGUUGUCCAAGUUUAAGGUGGUAGGCUGAAAUCUUAGGUAAAUCCGGGGUUUCAAGGCCGAGAGCUGAUGACGAGUCGUCUUUUAGAUGACGAAGUGGUUGAUGCCAUGCUUCCAAGAAAAGCUUCUAAGCUUCAGGUAACCAGGAACCGUACCCCAAACCGACACAGGUGGUCGGGUAGAGAAUACCAAGGCGCUUGAGAGAACUCGGGUGAAGGAACUAGGCAAAAUGGCACCGUAACUUCGGGAGAAGGUGCGCCGGCUAGGGUGAAGGAUUUACUCCGUAAGCUCUGGCUGGUCGAAGAUACCAGGCCGCUGCGACUGUUUAUUAAAAACACAGCACUCUGCAAACACGAAAGUGGACGUAUAGGGUGUGACGCCUGCCCGGUGCCGGAAGGUUAAUUGAUGGGGUUAGCGCAAGCGAAGCUCUUGAUCGAAGCCCCGGUAAACGGCGGCCGUAACUAUAACGGUCCUAAGGUAGCGAAAUUCCUUGUCGGGUAAGUUCCGACCUGCACGAAUGGCGUAACGAUGGCGGCGCUGUCUCCACCCGAGACUCAGUGAAAUUGAAAUCGCUGUGAAGAUGCAGUGUAUCCGCGGCUAGACGGAAAGACCCCGUGAACCUUUACUGUAGCUUUGCACUGGACUUUGAGCCUGCUUGUGUAGGAUAGGUGGGAGGCUUUGAAGCGUGGACGCCAGUUCGCGUGGAGCCAUCCUUGAAAUACCACCCUGGCAUGCUUGAGGUUCUAACUCUGGUCCGUGAUCCGGAUCGAGGACAGUGUAUGGUGGGCAGUUUGACUGGGGCGGUCUCCUCCUAAAGAGUAACGGAGGAGUACGAAGGUGCGCUCAGACCGGUCGGAAAUCGGUCGCAGAGUAUAAAGGCAAAAGCGCGCUUGACUGCGAGACAGACACGUCGAGCAGGUACGAAAGUAGGUCUUAGUGAUCCGGUGGUUCUGUAUGGAAGGGCCAUCGCUCAACGGAUAAAAGGUACUCCGGGGAUAACAGGCUGAUACCGCCCAAGAGUUCAUAUCGACGGCGGUGUUUGGCACCUCGAUGUCGGCUCAUCACAUCCUGGGGCUGA
rnacentral:rRNA from 1 species